rnacentral:rRNA from 1 species
CUUCCUACGGGACGCAGCAGUGGGGAAUAUUGCACAAUGGGGGAAACCCUGAUGCAGCGACGCCGCGUGAGUGAAGAAGUAAUUCGUUAUGUAAAGCUCUAUCAGCAGGGAAGAAAAUGACGGUACCUGAGUAAGAAGCCCCGGCUAACUACGUGCCAGCAGCCGCGGUAAUACGUAGGGGGCAAGCGUUAUCCGGAAUCACUGGGUGUAAAGGGAGCGUAGACGGCUGAGCAAGCCUGAAGUGAAAGGCGGGGGCCCAACCCCUGGACUGCUUUGGGAACUGUACGGCUG